rnacentral:rRNA from 1 species
CUGCGGUGCUACCAUGCAAGUCGAACGUGAUCCGCCCUUCGGGGUGGUGAAAGUGGCGCACGGGUGAGUAACGCGUGGAUAAUCUGCCCGAGGAUUUGGGAUAACAUCUCGAAAGGGGUGCUAAUACCGAAUAAGCCCACGGGGUCUACGGAUCUUGCGGGAAAAGGGGGGGACCUUCGGGCCUCCUGUCCUUGGAUGAGUCUGCGUACCAUUAGCUAGUUGGUGGGGUAAUGGCCUACCAAGGCGACGAUGGUUAGCUGGUCUGAGAGGAUGAUCAGCCACACUGGAACUGAGACACGGUCCAGACUCCUACGGGAGGCAGCAGUGGGGAAUUUUGCGCAAUGGGGGAAACCCUGACGCAGCAACGCCGCGUGGGUGAUGAAGGCCUUCGGGUCGUAAAGCUCUGUCUGGAGGGAAGAAAUGAUUGGGAGCUAAUACCUCUUGAUCUUGACGGUACCUCUGAAGGAAGCACCGGCUAACUCCGUGCCAGCAGCCGCGGUAAUACGGAGGGUGCAAGCGUUGUUCGGAAUUAUUGGGCGUAAAGCGCGUGUAGGCGGUCUUUUAAGUCUGAUGUGAAAGCCCCGGGCUCAACCUGGGAAGUGCAUUGGAAACUGGGAGGCUUGAGUACGGGAGAGGAGAGUGGAAUUCCUAGUGUAGGAGUGAAAUCCGUAGAUAUUAGGAGGAACACCGGUGGCGAAGGCGGCUCUCUGGACCGAUACUGACGCUGAGACGCGAAAGCGUGGGUAGCAAACAGGAUUAGAUACCCUGGUAGUCCACGCCGUAAACGAUGAGUACUAGUGUUGCGGGUAUUGACCCCUGC